GACAAUGUUGAAGAGGAAGAAGGUCUGUCCCCCUAUUCUUUUGAAGCCCUUAUCCCUCUUUUUCUGUUGAGCAAAUAACUCACUGGAAAGUUUGACAGUUAUUGCAUGUAUCACGUCUUCGACUUAUUAUAUUGCUAAGUGACAUCUCUUUUGAUGGAAGGACUGGCUUAACUGGUCCAGUUAUUAUCUGUACAUUGUAGGCAGAUGAUGCUGCAUAGCUCUCUCGGUAACCUCACUGGCCUGUUUCAUUAUCUAGAACUUUCAAUAUUGAACUGUAUCUAAGACAAGCUAGAUCCAACAAUGAAUUAUAAAAAUCAGCCACUUAGGUUUUUAUUUUAUUUAUUUAUU
rnacentral:misc_RNA from 1 species